GACCUGUUUAAAAAAACUGCUCCUUGANUAAGGACUAGUCCGGAGUUGUCUGGAGGAUUAUACUGUCUCCCCCCUUUAUCACUGAAACUGAUCUCCCCGUGAAGAAGCGGGGAUAAACUUACAAGACGAGAAGACCCUGUGGAGCUUCAAACUCUCACCACUUACCUCAAAACACGUCAUAACAAACAGGUAAGCUUGUGUACCAGUUUUAGGUUGGGGCGACCGCGGAGCAAAACUAAACCUCCACGAUGAAGAGAUUCUACUUUUCUAAUCCAAGAGCAACACCUCAAAGAAUCAACAAACUGACACAUUGACCCAAAUACUUUGAUCAACGAACCAAGUUACCCCAGGGAUAACAGCGCAAUCCAUUUCAAGAGCUCCUAUCGACAAAUGGGUUUACGACCUCGAUGUUGGAUCAGGGUAUCCCAGUGGUGCAGCCACUACUA
rnacentral:rRNA from 2 species